rnacentral:rRNA from 1 species
UACGGAGGGUGCGAGCGUUGUCCGGAUUUAUUGGGCGUAAAGAGCGUGUAGGCGGCCAGGCAGGUCCGCUGUGAAAACUCGAGGCUCAACCUCGAGAGGUCGGUGGAAACCGUCUGGCUAGAGUCCGGAAGAGGAGAGUGGAAUUCCCGGUGUAGCGGUGAAAUGCGCAGAUAUCGGGAGGAACACCAGUGGCGAAGGCGGCUUCCUGGACCGGUUCUGACACUGAGGAGCGAAAGCGUGGGGAGCGAUCCGG